UACGAAGGGGGCUAGCGUUGUUCGGAAUUACUGGGCGUAAAGCGCGUGUAGGCGGGUCUUUAAGUCAGGGGUGAAAUGCCAAGGCUCAACCUUGGAACUGCCUUUGAUACUGGAGACCUUGAGUCCGGGAGAGGUGAGUGGAAUUGCGAGUGUAGAGGUGAAAUUCGUAGAUAUUCGCAAGAACACCAGUGGCGAAGGCGGCUCACUGGCCCGGAACUGACGCUGAGACGCGAAAGCCGUGGGGAGCAACAGGG
rnacentral:rRNA from 1 species